rnacentral:rRNA from 1 species
CCUACGGGUGGCAGCAGUGAGGAAUAUUGGUCAAUGGUCGGGAGACUGAACCAGCCAAGCCGCGUGAGGGAUGAAGGUACAGAGUAUCGUAAACCUCUUUUGUCAGGGAACAAAGGCGGGGACGUGUCCCCGGAUGAGUGUACCUGAAGAAAAAGCAUCGGCUAACUCCGUGCCAGCAGCCGCGGUAAUACGGAGGAUGCGAGCGUUAUCCAGAUUUAUUGUGUCUAAAGGGUGCGCAGGCGGUCUGUUAAGUCAGCGGUAAAAGCUCGGGGCUCAACCCCGGCCCGCCGUUGAAACUGGCAGUCGCGAGUUGGAGAGAAGUAUGCGGAAUGCGCGGUGUAGCGGUGAAAUGCAUAGAUAUCGCGCAGAACUCCGAUUGCGAAGGCAGCAUGCCGGCUCCACACUGACGCUGAGGCACGAAAGCGUGGGUAUCGAACAGGAUUAGAUACCCUGGUAGUC